rnacentral:rRNA from 1 species
UACGGGGGGGGGCUAGCGUUGUUCGGAAUUACUGGGCGUAAAGGGCGCGUAGGCGGCCUACUAAGUCGGACGUGAAAUCCCUCGGCUCAACCGGGGAACUGCGUCCGAUACUGGUGGGCUCGAAUCCGGGAGAGGGAUGUGGAAUUCCAGGUGUAGCGGUGAAAUGCGUAGAUAUCUGGAGGAACACCGGUGGCGAAGGCGGCAUCCGUGGACCGGUAGUUGACGCUGAUGCGCGAAAGCCAGGGGA